CCAGGCUGUGUGAAGGCAAAGCUUCUGAAAGGCUGGUGUAUAGGACCAGCACGGGAGAGAUGAACCGAGGCAGCUGCUGUCUGUGUUGUGCUUUUUUCUCUGAGUUGUAAAAAUUCAACUGCCAACGCCCAUCCCUACAGGCUCUGGGACCUGAGAAAGAAGAGCAUCUUCAGACAGUAUUCUUUGCCAUGUUUCGGCAGUGAAGUCCUGGAAACCCCAAAUCCUUUGAGCAGCAGAUACUAUUAUGUCCAGUUUCUUAGACUUUUUGUUCCUUUGUGCAGUACAAUUAAUCACAUGCGCAAUAAACACCAUAACAUCCACCUUCUUCACAAUCAGCAUAUUAGUUUCCCUCAACUGUUGAGCAACACUGAAUCUCCACAGUCAGCGAAGCAUCCACAGCCAUAUCUUCAGCUCCACUCACUCCAACUAUUUCACGUGCCUCUGUGUAGGAGGCCUGCUGUAUAGCCCUGACCCUUGCCACUUCAUACUCCUUUACCCUAACCGGACACUCUGGGGAAUUGGGAACGUGGUUGCCAUCACAAUUACAACAUCGUACACCCUCAAACGUUCCCCAGUACCUGGAUAUUUUAGCCAACAAUCUGGUUGCCCCUGCCGAGGCUGAAACUUGGCCGCAAGUGGAUCUUCCAGCAAGAUAAUAACCCCAAGCACACAUCAAAAUCCACAAAUAAUUGUAUUUGAACUCAACUCCAGUUGUACAGGGCAGAAGUGGGCCGUGGAGUGGUGGUGCCAGCCAGUGGCACUCCAAGGCUCCUACAGAGUCCAUGCUGGAUAUCAGGGUAGGUUCCAG
ensembl:lncRNA